rnacentral:rRNA from 1 species
AUUGAACGCUGGCGGCAGGCCUAACACAUGCAAGUCGAGCGGCAGCGGGGGGAAGCUUGCUUUCCCGCCGGCGAGCGGCGGACGGGUGAGUAAUGUCUGGGAAACUGCCUGAUGGAGGGGGAUAACUACUGGAAACGGUAGCUAAUACCGCAUAACGUCUUCGGACCAAAGUGGGGGACCUUCGGGCCUCAUGCCAUCAGAUGUGCCCAGAUGGGAUUAGCUAGUAGGUGGGGUAACGGCUCACCUAGGCGACGAUCCCUAGCUGGUCUGAGAGGAUGACCAGCCACACUGGAACUGAGACACGGUCCAGACUCCUACGGGAGGCAGCAGUGGGGAAUAUUGCACAAUGGGCGCAAGCCUGAUGCAGCCAUGCCGCGUGUAUGAAGAAGGCCUUCGGGUUGUAAAGUACUUUCAGCGGGGAGGAAGGUGUUGUGGUUAAUAACCACAGCAAUUGACGUUACCCGCAGAAGAAGCACCGGCUAACUCCGUGCCAGCCGCCGCAGUAAAAA